AGAUUAAAAAGGUAGGUAGUAUUAACAUGUAAAGAAACCUAUAUACACCGGCGGCAUUUCAUCUUAUCAGAGGAACAUGUUAUUUAAUCGAUAAUACACGUUAAAUUUCACUUUUUUUAAAAUUUUAUAUACCUCCGUCCAUAAAUAAAUAUUAAUAUAUUUUUUUAAUAAUAUUCUAAGAGGUUAGGUAAAGGUGUAGACUAUAAAUAAGAUUUAAAUGUGUUACAUUAAAAUCUAUUUAAGGAUUAAUUUUGCUAAAAAUUAAAGAAAAAGGAUUUGAAAGUAAUAUAAAUUUAGUAUCUUUAUAUGAAUAAGAAAAUAAAUGUGC
rnacentral:rRNA from 1 species